CGGCCCGGCCCAGCUGAAGAGUCCACACGCGCUCCCUCCGCCUCUCGCAUCUCCCGACCCGACCCCGCCAGGCACCGCUGCACCGGUCGUCGCCGGCGCGACGGACUUGAGCGGUGCAUCGCGCCCGGCUGCUGCGGCAAGUGGGCGGAGCAGGAUAGCAGCGGCCGCUCGGCUAAGCAGCCAGCUGAUUCGCUUCCGUCUACUGGCUUUGCUUUCGGGGAUUUGGGGAUCCGGCACCGCACCGGCGGAAAGGGGGUCAGCCAGCCAUGGCGGCGAGGCAGCCGCCGCCGUCGUCCGCCUCCGCGCCCGCGGGGGGGCUCUCCAUGAAGGAGUACCUCAAGAGGUACCAGUCGGGCCCGGGCGCCGACGGGGACCAGAAGAAGGCGAAGAAGAAGACGAAGAAGAAGCCCAAGCCCGCCGCCGGGGGAGGCGGGGUGCUCAUCGUCGACGAGGACCCUGUGUGGCAGAAGCCCGUACGGGUGGAGGACGACGAGCCCGCGUCGUCAGGUGACGACAGGCCUCUGGUGGAUGAGGACAUCGAGGUCAAGCGGAUGCGCCGCCUGGAGGCAAUACGCACGGCGCGGCCGUACAACGCCAUUGCGGAGGACGGCAGCGGGUGGGUCACUGUGGCGGCCCCGGAGGAGCAGGGUGGUGGGUCGACCCGCCGCCGCAGGAAUGACACGCCGUCACCGGAGCGGGGAGGUGCUGGGAGCAAGGACUUUUCUCCUCCACGUCGGAGGCAGCGGCGUGACACGCCCUCACCUAAGCCUGGUGAUGCUGCUGGGAAGGAAAUCUCGCCACCGAAGCAGAGGCGGAGGCGCCAGGACACACCAUCGCCAAAGGGCAACGGUGCAGCUGAUCAGGAUGACAUGUCACCACCACGAAAGCCUAGGAGGCAACAAGACCCCUCGCCACCGAGGAGACGUGCUCGUAAUGACUUUGAGGAGCCCCAGGACCUCGAGCUGCUGAGGAGGCGUGUGAGACAUGACUCUGAGGAGCCGCAGGACAUGUCACCACCACGAAGGCAUAGGCAUGAUUCAGAGGAGCCGCAGGACAUGCCACCACCACGGAGGCGAAUGCGGCAUGAUUCUGAGGAGCCUCAGGACAUGUCACCACCACGAAGGCGUAGGCAUGAUUCAGAGGAGCCCCAAGACAUGUCACCACCACGGAGGCGAAUGAGACAUGAUUCAGAGGAGCCGCAAGACCUCUCUGUGCCACGUCGAAGAGCACGGCAUGACUUAGAGGAACCCAAAGACUUAUCCCAACCUCGGCGACGGAGACGGCAUGAUUCAGAAGAGCCCGAAGACAUGCCACCACAGAGGAGGAAGUACCAGGACUCUACAAAGGUGGAUGAUCUGUCGCCUCCAAGAAGGAGAAAUAUGGGGCAAAAUCCAGAUUUUUCACCACCAAGGAAGGGUAAGAAGGAAGGAGCCCAAAAACAGGCAAGGAAAGCUGGACUGAUGACAGCAGAGGAAGUUAAAGAGGACAUCAAAAAGAUUAAGGAGGAUGAGAUGCUCAAGUUCGCAGCGUAGGAUCCCUCAUUGGUUGGGAAAGGGGCAAAGGCUGUAUUCCGAGAUAAGGAAGGGAAACGGAUAAGUGAAGAAGAGAUGCGCAAGUCAAAGGAAUCUGAAAAGCCGAAGGAAAUACAUAUAGAAUGGGGUAAAGGAUUGGCGCAGAAGCGAGAAGCCGAGGCUAGAUUAAAAGAGCUUGAAGCUGAGAAGAGUAAACCAUUUGCUCGAACAAGGGAUGACCCUGAGCUUGACUCUAUGCUAAAAAACAGAAUCCGAUGGGGUGAUCCUAUGGCUCACCUUGUCAAGAGGAAAGAUCCAGAAUUUCUCCUUGAAGACUUUGGAGACGAUGAAAAGAUGAAAGAAUCUGGUUUCAUAGUUCCCCAAAAUAUACCUAGUUACAGUUGGCUGAAACGUGGAGUAGACCCCCCUCCAAAUCGUUAUGGCAUAAAGCCUGGGCGUCACUGGGAUGGCGUGGAUCGCAGUAAUGGAUUUGAGAAGGACAUGUUCAAGCUAAAGAACGAGAAGCAAGCAAUGGAGCAAGAGGCCUAUCUUUGGUCUGUGUCAGAUAUGUGAUCCCAGCUGCUGUUCCAAGACAUGAAUUCUGAAGGGACUAAUGUGGUCUGAAGGAAGAAACAAAGAGACUAUUCAAACGUUUUUCUUUAAACACACAAAAUGACCACGCUGGUGGGUGCUGUGUUUGCUGGAAAGCCCAAUGAAGCAUUGAUUUUGUUACAUGUAUUUGUUGAAACUUGUUACUACUCGUACUUCUUUUGUUAUCCUUGACAUUUUGUAAUAUAGGUAGACAUACAUGCUGCAAAGACGCAGUUUUUGGACUAGUACAGAAGAUGAGAUUUGGAGUGAAUAGUUUGUCACUUUCUGCUGCUUUCCAUGUGAAUAGUUUGUCUCCGUUUUGAAUCUA